rnacentral:tRNA from 1 species
GGGUGCGUAGCUCAGUUGGAUAGAGCAACUGACUCUUAAUCAGUGGGUCCAGGGUUCGAAUCCCUGCGCGCCUACCA